UCUUCAGUACACUGCUGAGUCAAUACAACGGUUCAUUGUUUUAAAAUAACCAAUAACCCACACAGUGAACCAAAUCAAGGAACUUAUGUUCUGCCCGUACAUAGACAUGGACUUAAAAUGAACUAUGAGUGCAUGUGUGUGUUUCAUAUAUGUGUAUGCAUGUGAUGCAUGUUUCAGGUGAAUUUUGUGUGUGUCGUGUGAAUUGUGUGUUUGAGGAGAAUUGUGUACAUGUUUGUGUCACGUGAAUUGUGUGUGUCACGUAAAGUGUGCGUGUGUCAUGUGAAGUGUGUGUUUCAUAUAUGCGUGUGUGUGUCAUGUGAAGUGUGUAUGUGUUUGUGUGUGUGUCAUGUGGAUUUUGGGUGUGUGUCAUGUGAUUAGUGUGUGUGUGUGCCAUGUGAAUUGUGUGUUUGUGUGUGUGUCAUGUGAAUUUUGUGUGUGUGUGUUGUGUAUGUGUUUGUGUGUGUGUCAUGUGGAUUUUGGGUGUGUGUCAUGUGAUUAGUGUGUGUGUGUGCCAUGUGAAUUGUGUGUUUGUGUGUGUGUCAUGUGAAUUUUGUGUGUGUGUGUGUCAUGUGAAGUGUGUGUGUUUGUUGUGCCCGUGUCAAGUAAAUUAUGUGUGCUUGGGUGUGUCAUGUGAAUAGUGUAUAUGUGUGUGUCAUGUGAAAUGUGUGUAUGUGUCAUGUGAAGUGUGUGCGUUUGUGUCAUGUGAAUCUGGUGUGUGUGUGUCAUUUAAAUUUUGUGUGUGUGUCAUGUGAACGGUGUAUGUGUGUGUCAAGAGAAGUGUGUG